rnacentral:rRNA from 1 species
GAUACCCCACUAUGCUUAGCCCUAAACCCAGAUAUUUCAACACACAAAAAUAUCCGCCAGAGAACUACGAGCUAGACGCUUAAAACUCUAAGGACUUGGCGGUACCUCAAACCCUCCUAGAGGAGCCUGUUCUAUAAUCGAUAAUCCACGAUCUACCCGACCACCUCUUGCCAAUACCGCCUAUAUACCACCGUCACCAGCUUACCCUAUGAAGGACAUAAAAGUAAGCAAAAUAGCCAACAGCUAACAAGUCAGGUCAAGGUGUAGCUAACUGAGAUGGAAGAAAUGGGCUACAUUUUCUACACUAGAAAUUAAACCACGGAAAGGAACUAUGAAACAAGUCCCAUAAGCAGGAUUUAGCAGUAAACUGGGAUCAGAAUACCCAAUUUAAGCCGGUCCUGAGGUGCGCACACACCGCCCGUCACCCUC